rnacentral:tRNA from 1 species
GAAAAAGUACGCAAGAACUGCUAAUUCUAUGCCCCCAUACCUAACAGUAUGGCUUUUUCA